GACGAACGCUGGCGGCGUGCCUAAUACAUGCAAGUCGAACGCAUUUUCUUUCACCGUAGCUUGCUACACCGAAAGAAAAUGAGUGGCGAACGGGUGAGUAACACGUGGGUAACCUGCCCAUCAGCGGGGGAUAACACUUGGAAACAGGUGCUAAUACCGCAUAAUUCCAUUUACUGCAUGGUAGAUGGAUGAAAGGCGCUUUUGCGUCACUGAUGGAUGGACCCGCGGUGCAUUAGCUAGUGGGUGGGGUAACGGCCUACCAAGGCUGCGAUGCAUAGCCGACCUGAGAGGGUGAUCGGCCACACUGGGACUGAGACACGGCCCAGACUCCUACGGGAGGCAGCAGUAGGGAAUCUUCGGCAAUGGACGCAAGUCUGACCGAGCAACGCCGCGUGAGUGAAGAAGGUUUUCGGAUCGUAAAACUCUGUUGUUAGAAAAGAACAAGGAUGAGAGUGGAAAGUUCAUCCCUUGACGGUAUCUAACCAGAAAGCCACGGCUAACUACGUG
rnacentral:rRNA from 1 species